rnacentral:sRNA from 1 species
UAUAUAUAUGACUAAAAAAAGUCAUUAUCCAUAUUUCUCUAAGGAGGAAAUUGAAAAUAUUGUUAUGAAGGAUCCAGGAAGCCUAUACCUCUAACUGCUCUAUACUGGCACAAGAUAUAAUAAUUCAUACUGAUCUUUCUCGGUGAGAUAACAGAUAGUAGGCAAGAGUUCAUUUGAAAAGUGAAACAAAAUACAUUCUGAAUGCCGUUUCUCAUUAUCUACCCAGCUUUAGUGAUGAUAAUGUGUGUGGCGACUGUGCCUAGUGGAUAAUACUUGAAAUAUGCCUAACAAAAAUGUGAAUUUAUUCAUUUUUAUGUAGGUCAAUCAAACAUCUGCCUGGAGACCUCAUUUAAUUCAGGUCAAAAGAGGCAGCAACCGUCCACAUUCAGUAGACUUGACAGCAAACAUCAAAAGACAGCCAUUUUAGAUCCUCCCCAAUGCUCCUCCCUGACACACAUUUUAUUUAGAAAAAAAAAAAAUAGGUUCCCAAGUAAGAGGGAGGCUCCUGAGAGAAGAGAAGCAGAGCAUGGUGUCAUCAGUCAACACAUGUAUUGUUGGGAAUUCAUGUUCUGUCUGCUGGUCUUCCCCAACCGCUGGUUCUCCUGCACCCACCAAAUCGCAGGCCAUUGCUCUGAGAUGCGCCUUCUUUGUUCUCACACAAUUCUCACCCUGCUGAGCAGUGAUGGAAUUUGGGGGUGUGUUUCCAUAGAAUCCUGUGCAUCCAGAGACCAUGGGAGGAGAUUAGGUUCUGUCUCUGAGCUAGGAUACUGCUUUGUCAGAUCACUUGCUAUGGAAUUUGAUUUUUCAUAGGCAGUCCCACCUGGAAUCACAGACUCCUUGCAUAUCAGAAUUAUUUAGCUCUUGCUGACAGCAGCCAUUCAUUCCCUAGGAAUGGUGCCUCUGGCCUUUGGAGAGACCCUCACCUGAGUCUGAUUUUCUUGUUUGCUUUAGUCUCCAUUCUCUUUCCUCCUGGUGUUUUAUGCUUUUACUUUUUUUAAUUGUUCCCUUGCUUAUUUAUGCUCUCUUACUUUUAUUUGACUCUCAUUUUUCUUCAGAGCAAUAGUGCUUUGAGCUUUUUCAGUCCUUUGUCUCCUAUACCUAGGUCAUUAAUUAUUUCAUAGAUGAAAAAAAAAUGGAGUUAAAGGAUUCUCUGGCUUUGGCGUGAUACUUCUUUCUUGGAACAAAAUGGAUAGGAAGAAGGAAUGGCUUGAAAGAAACAUGUGAGAGGACUUAGAAGGGUCAGAUAGAAAGGUCUAGGAAGGCUUCACAAUAUGGGUGUACUAUGCAGGCUUUAUACUUCUUCUUGGCAUGCUAAAGAGAACUAGGUGCCUAUGGGAAGGCAGAAACAGGUGUCUAUCACUAGAACACAGCUCUGUGGGAAAGGCUCACUCUGUUUACUUGUAAAACUCUUGAGUAGGCCCAACACAGCAGCUGUGCAACAGAUGAGUGCUGGUUUCCUGGCUGAAGGAGCAUGUCUCAUCUCUUACUCGGCUUGAAAAUGGUCCUCGUUUCAAUGGUAGGCUUCAGAGUGGGCCUAAAAGGGAAGUGAGUGGAGGCCUGAAGCUUUGAUAAACGUAAUGAAUACUUUCUGGCUUUGAAAAUGUAGCCUGAGAUGUGCCGUGGUGACACACCUCUUUGAUCCUAGCACUGGAGAAACAAAGGCAGGAGGAUCUCUGUGAGUUCCAGGCCAUUCUGGUCUACAGAGUGAGUUCUAGGACAGCCAGGGCUACCUGGAGAAACCAUGUCUUGGAGAGGAGUAAAGGAAUCUUAAAUAUGUGUUUUCUCCAAGGGGUCAUCUAAGGACUGAGCUCUCUGACAAAUACCUAAAAGUGUGACAGUGGUGGUGAAAAUUGGAGAUUAAUAUCCUAGAGGGCACAGUCCUGACUGGUUCAUUGUGGAUAGGUCCAUGAGUGCCAUGGGUCAGCUCCUUAGCAGUGUGUGUGACAAGAUCCCUGAACUCCUGUCUCCGUUUCAGGGAUGUAUCUACUCUUUGCUUCCAUCCACACAUGUGCUGAAGAUAGGACUGUGUCUAGUGGGAAGCCUAGCUCAUAAUGAAGUCAUUUAUCCAACUUGAACCCAAGUAUGGGAAAUAUGUUCAGAAUACAUAUAUUGAUAGCCACAUGGGUGCCAAUUAGUAAUAACGUGUUUAAAUACAUAUCAAUACAGCGUCCCAAAGGUAUGGUAUAGGUUUUCAAAGGGACUAUGCUGUUAUAUGAAGGUGAAUAUUUGACCUUAUAACCUUUAACCCAUUCCUUCUAAUGAACUAGCUAUAACAAAUAAGUUCGAAGUUAAAAAAAGUUCUCAGGAAAAGUAUUUCAUCCCAUUUAUUGGGAAUUUGGCUGUGAAGUGUUGUAUGUCCUCAAGUUUAGCAGUGUACUGGGCAACAGACUGUCACCAACAAAUUAACAGUGAUUUUCAAAAACGCCCAUUUUGAUGCCUAGAAGACACGAUUAGAUGAUAAGGUAAUACUAAAGCUAUCACUUCAGUUUCUACUUUGGAAAAAGGGAUACAAAUACUGAGGCUCCAUUUUCCAGGAGUAUUUCUAAACAAAUCAGGCAUGAAAAGGGAUAUUCAAUGAAAAUGUUUAACAAUGUUUGUAUCUAGACAUUUUUAGUUGAUCUUGCCUUAAUCCUUAAGUAACUGUUCAGUUAUUUCAGAGUCUAUUAAAUAGUCAAAUUACACUGAACAAAUUCCAGGAUAUAAAAAUAUUUCUUUCACAGGAUCUAAGAGGCCAAUAAGUAGUCAAUGGACACAUGUGCUCAAAAUUCUUCUCGUAAAAUCCCACCAGUAUGUACAACUUUUAAUCUCUAGUUUCCCUCAGUGCCAUAAUGAAAUACCAUUUGCUGAGAUCUACUUUGAUCUGUCACCCUCAACUUAGUUGUCUUUUAUGAAUUUUGGAGUUAGUAGGUUUUUGAUUAUUUAGAUUUUGUUACUUGAGCUUCACAUUAGCUUAUUUUUAUCCAUAUUCUCCUUCAUCUAUCUUAAAAAGGUAGCUUAAAUGACAUAAUUGUCACCAAAGGCUAUCUUCUAUAACUGUCCUGACUGUAACGGGCAGGGAGUCGAGGUGUGCUUAGCCACUUUUUGGUCAGGUGACACACUUGUACUUUUAGAGAUUAUAGGCUGUACUCACAGGUCCACCGUAGCCAUAUCCUUCCCACAAUGCAACACUUGGACAGCCAGUGGUGCUUUAAAAAAUGAUACAUGAUUGCAUUUAUUUAAAACUGUCUAAAUAGCAACUAUAGAAAGGAUUAACACUAAAAUGGGCCUUUUCGUUAGUUAAAUGAAAUCAAUUAUCUUCCGAUUUCCCACAGGCUGUGAUUUACUGUUAUUGAAUUCUGAUCAUGAUUGAAAAGCCAUUUUCUUCUUUGAUUGAAACAUCUCUCUGCAGUGAAGAAGCCAAAAGGAAGUCCUAUUCUAAAUCUACAUUUGCUACAACAGGACCCUGAGAGCCUGACAUCCACAACUACUGAAAACAGUGAGUCAGGGACUACUGAAGCAGAUGAUUGUAAUUCUAGGUGUUGACAUCUGGUCUUGUCACUGUGGGCGGAAUUCAGUGCACGCCCUCUUCAGCAGGAGUCGCUCAAAGUCAUCAGGAAGUGCACCUCAGUCUGCAACCCGCGCAGUAGAGAACUAACUGAGUGGAUGACUUCAGACAUGCCCCCCCCCCCUGCCUACUACACUGGCAGAAAAUCUGCAUUACUGCUGCGAGACUCUCCAACAGUCCUCUUCUAGAACUCGGAGCUUUGAACACUGUACUGAGAGUAAGGGUUCACAGAAGGUAAAAGUCAUCUGACUUUUGUCACAACGAAUCACUCGGGGGCCUUUUGCUUUUAGGAAUUAGAACUGCCCAGAUCAUCAGAAUAUGGUAGAUAACCGAAGCGGACUUCAUUGCGACCGCAGACUGAUACUCCUCUGCCGUGGCAUCUGUGGGCACAGCAGUCUCUAAACUCACUGUGAUCGCCUCUUGUGCACAGCAAUUCAAGUCUUCGAAAUUUUUCUUCUUUCCUGGUCUGAAAUUAUUAAUAUUUAAUAUGCUCAAUGCAAAUAAAUCGAGUGGAUCCCAAAGGAUGGGUGAGCUUGUUUUCGCCUGACUGCUACCACAGAAGUAUUUUUAAUUUUUUUCUUUUAUUAGAUUAACUUAUUUUGUGUUGAUGUGUAUGGGGAUUUUGUCUGCAUGUAUCUCUGUACCACUUGCAUAAUUAAUAGUUGACACCUGCAGAGGCUGGAAGAGGGCACCAGAUUCACUAGAACCAGAGUUAUGAAUGGUUUUGAGCAAUUGUGAGGGUUCAGAGAUCUUGGAAUUGAAACAUAGGCCCUCUGUAAGAGCAACAGAUACUCCUGACCACUGAACAUCCUACCUCUCCAUGCCUCAUGGCCAUUUGUUUGCUUCUUCAUUUUUCUUGGUACUCUGGACUUGUUCUUAGCAAGUUCUUUGCUAGGAUGUCUCCUCAAACAAUUUAUUUCUCAUCAAUUUAAGCUGUAUAGAUUGACAAUUCAGAGGGCUGUUCAAAAUGAAGCUGUGAAUUUGCUGUGAAUAUUAAAGGUUUAUGAAUUUAACAUUUUAUUUCACAGUUUUUAAGUUUUAUUAUCCUUUCUGGAAACAAGUUCAAGCCUAACUCAUUUUGUACAUUACACUGAAGUGUAUCAUAACAUUCCAUUUGAAAUUGAAGAAAUAAAACCUCCUUAUUCUGUC